rnacentral:sRNA from 1 species
CAUGUGUCUGCAUAUGUGUGAUUAUGACAAUAUGAGUACCUGAGUGUUCCAGUGGGGGUAUGUGUGUAUGUGUUACGUGUAUGUGUCAUGCAUCUAUUUGUGUACCUUUGUGUGUGUGUUCAUGUGCACAGGUUCAAGCCUUCCUGUUUGUAGAUCAUUUAAGAGCCCUGGAGCUAACACACAGUAUGUCAGUGUGGCUCCUGUGGGCUUUCCCGCGUACUAUGUUUUGUAUCUGAAAUGUCUAUCAAAAGCCGACAAGCCUCUAGUUCAGCAGAGCUCAGAGUGGGGCUUUGAGAGGUGACUGGCUUGUGAGGACUCUGACCUUCUCAUUCUGUGACAAUGUAAUAGAUUCUUAAUUUAAUGGACUGUUAGAAGGUUUGGAAACUUCGGAAGGUGGGGUCUAGUUGGAGAAGGUUACUAGAACAUUCCUUGAAGGGUAUAUUUUUCUGUCUGCUUCUCUCCUCCCUCCUUCCCUUCCUUUCUCUCCUGCCUCUCUCUUCUCUCUUUCUCUUUCUUCCUCUCCUGGUUUUUCUUCUUGCUUCCAGGUCACCGUAGGUGGUCAGCUUUGCUCCGUCAUGUGGUACCUGUCAUAAUGCUGUGUCUCCCUUCAGGCUGAGAAGCAGCAAAGUCUAUUGACCGUGGGUGAAACCUCAGAGACAAGAUUCUCACCUGCAGAUGCUCAUUCGGCUGAGAACAUAACUUGAAAUCUUGCAAGUCCAGGAGAAAGGCCAUGUGAAAACCAGCUAGAAGUUGAGUGACUAAGAACACAGCACCACCUGCUUUUUUUUUUUUUUCACUUAAAUUUAAAAAUCCAGUUGAAGGGCACAUACAGCCCCAGUGCUGCCACAUCACAGCACAAAGUUAAAGUCUUAAAGCCAAGGAAAAGGCAUUGGAAGAGACUCUAGCUUACGUUUGGAGAACAGAGAAAGCUUGCCACACCAAAGUGGAGUAGACCUAGAUUUAAGUCUUGACGGCAAGCAUCACUCACAGUGGUUUACCACCCUCUAGAUGUGUCCUCACAUGCUCUCAAGACUCUCUGAGCCAUUAUGCACCAUGCUUGCCUCCAUGGUACAGGAGGAGGUUUCAGAGCCAAAGAAUCCAUCUAUGCGUCAUCAAACAUGGCUUUUAAGGUGGCUUCUGCUGCUGUUUGAAGAGCCUUUAUGAGAGUGUUGGCCAGAUUUUACACAGAGAGGUAGGCCAAAGUACUGGGAUGCAGUGACAUCCAAGGCGAGCCUGGAGAAAGCCAUACACAGGGCUGAGAAGAUUGAGAUGGACCUUCAGCACAUGCAGGCCGAGGGCCUUGGCAGGGUAUCUGUAGCAGACAGAGGUUUCUGGAACCCAUGAUGGAACGUGGAGAAGGAGGAAACUAAUGUCACUCCGAUAACUGCCCAGGUUGAAGUCCCCUCCAGUCACCAUUUCACCACUGUGGUGGCCUUUUCAUACACGGUAGGUAUCUUUGCAGGGCUAUGAAGCUAGCUGUGAGCUCACACUCACUUCCUGGAGAAGAGUAACAGUCCCUCCCUCUGUCACAGCCCGGCCAGCUCUCCAGUGAGCACAUCCUCUGAUGGGGUUUCCUAUGCUGAGAUUAAAUGGUGCUCUUUGAUCUGCUUUGGAAAGCUGCUCCGAGGACAGCUUCCUUUGGUGUCAGGAUACCUCCCAACACAUAUGCUUCCUUCAUCACUGGUCUUUUUAUGGAAUGGGCUUCAGCUUUAUUCUAACUAACCGUGGAUGUUUGCCUGAAGGUGGAUUCUUUUCCCUUUUAUUUUACUUGAGGGAUGGGAAGGGGUGAGAAAUAGCUGAUCCACCAUGAUUAUAGAAGAACUUGAGACUCACAGACAGGAGGAUGUGAGCCUCAGCUCUGAGUGACCCUGGGCUUUUGCUUUAUUUCUCUGAGCCUCCAUGCUCUGAAUUAGACCCAUAUUAGGCAUGACAAACAUUUAAGAAACAGCUUUUAAGACCUGUUCAUCAGAAGGAGCUGCUGAAUGUUCACAGGGAAAUCUCUGCCUCGACCACUCAAAAUCAUCUGGAUCCAACACAGAGGAACUUUCUGGUCUUCCAGGACACAUAGUGAGUGAGACCCCCCCCCCUCCCCCAGGCUGCGGACAGAGCACAUCCCCCUGUCAGUGAUGCUUUAGAGGUCAGGACAAUGGGUCAGACAUGGACAAAGGCUUUGUAUCAGGGAAUGAAGCAGACUCACUUCUUCCAUUGGAGCCAGGCAGGGAGAAGAGAGAAAGUCAGUGAAUCAACUGUAGUGUGGUUAGGGCUAGUGGAGGACUGCAGAGAGCUUCACUGAUUCUGCUUUUCUGGAAACUUCCCUCUCAGAGGAGAUGACAUUUGAGUUGGGGCUUAGAGCAUGAGCCAGGGGUCUCUAGAGAGACGGGGUUAUUAAAAACAUUGCUGGUGGUAGAAAGCAAAGCGGAGAGGCGUAGUGGAAGAACCGCUGUGGUCUGAAUUUAGACUGCCCCCUCAGUGCACGUGUUAAAGGCUUGAGCCUUAGCACACCGCUGUUGAGGAGUGGUAGAGCCAGUGGGGCCUGUGGGACCUUGAAGGAGAUUGGGUAGCACUUGUCUCCUUCUUUGACUUCCCAGUUACAGUGUGAUGAACAGGUUCCUCUAACCGCAGGACCCCAUUGUGAUGUGCAGUCUCUCCACAGGCGCCAAGAAAUGAAUAGGCAGUAUCCUCUGAAAAUGUGAGCCACAGCCAACACUCUCCUCCUCACAGAUUGUUCGUCCAAGGUAUUUGUGAGGGAAACUGAAUGCUGAAGCAAAGGGUUGCUCUCUGCGUUCUAUGGCUGGACUACUGAGUCAGAAUCGUCACGGCUAAGGGCAGGGUACAGCCAAUGCUUACUGGACUUUUAACUUGGGCCAGGUGUUGUACAAAGAGACCACUGCAUGUGUCAUCUAAUCCAGUCCUCUCUGUGCUAUUACUAACCGUACUUUGCAGAGAGGUGAGACUGAAGUAGAAAGGUUAAGGAAUUUGUCAUCACCGAUCUAUAUGACAAAACCAGAGGGAGAUCUGGUUCUAGCCAACUUCAAAGCUGACUUUAGCCUCUUUCCAAGAGCCUGGAACAAAGUACUGAGUGGUUUGUGUGCUGCUGAUCUGGGAUUUCCACUUCCUCCUUGAUGUGGGGAUAACCAGGGGGCCACACAGUGGAAGGAGCGGAGAUGAGAGCAUGGGGACAACAGUCACAGAUCCACUCUGUCCCACCUGUAGUACACACCAGAGCCUUCCACAGGGACGCAUGCACAACCCACUGUCCUGCUGCUGCCAAGGCUAAACUUCUCAGGAGCUGCAGGUAUGAUAUAGGGCAGAGGAGUUUUGAUUUUUCAUAGUGGAGCAUUUUUGCCUUAGGAUCCAGCAUGAAUCCACUGGGACCAGGACAACCUGCCAAACAGAUCUGUACUGUACAUGGUCUCUGCUUGCUUGUCCCAUAGGACCUGUCUCAGAACUGAAUUUUUGUCCUCCUUCCAACUCCCCUCUUGAUGCCUAUAAAACCACUAUAUGUAUUUUCUUGUUUGUAAAAGUAACACAUGUCAAUACUGGAGAAAGCUCAAAGAGCAUGAAUACCGAUGUGUAUCAGUUACCCAUCCCUAUGUCACAGAUUAUCUGAAACCUUGCACUGUGAAGCAAACUUAAGUUCUCACAUGGCUUGAGAAUGAGAAAUCUGGGAAUGGCCUAGCUGCUGGUGUCAUGAAGGGCAGCCAGGGGGUAGGUGGAGGCUCUAGUGAUAGGGCGUGGAGAAUUUGCUUUCAGAGGGAUGCUGGCUGGGCCCUUCAUUCUUACACGUAGACUUCUCCCAAGCGCUGCUCAGAACAUGACUUUUCUAAUACCACGCACCAGAGAGUGAACAAAAACAGAACUCACAAGCUCAUUUCAAAUUGACAGUUCAUCACAUAUGCAGCAUUCUGUUGGCCAAACACUGGUCUGAGAAUGAUAUCUUAGGGGUGGGAGUGUUUCUAGCACAGUUCAUCAUCAGUGAUCGCUACUGCUUCUUGUGAAGGUUGCCAACCACAGUGGACACAUUAUAACGUUAUAAUUAACUUAAGUUUGUACCUGGAGUCCCCCUCUUCCUCUCAAAGCAUUGCAAACUGUAAAAGACCACUUGGAGGUCACAGUGAUGGGAGUGUAGUGGUAAGUGGUCGGGACCCCAACAAACUGCCUUCUGAUUGCCUUCCGAGCCCAGGGCACACUGUGUGUGGAGUAGGGAAGGGAAGAGUAAUGGCAAUAGAGUGAAUGUUGUUCUUUUCUCUUAUGGGGAAUUCAUUCCCAGAACACUCUUGGGCUCCUCAUCCCAAUAGUCUGUCAACAGACUCAUAACUGAGAAUGGCCUCAGCUUAAGUCAUCAGAUUCCUGUGGUACCCACACUGACUUCAAGCUUUUUAUACUAAAAAAAAAAAAAUUGUGUGUGUGUGUGUCUGUGUGUGUGUGUGUGUCUGUGUGUGUGUGUGCAUGCACAUGAGUACAGGUGUCUACAGAGGCCAGGGAUACCAGAUACCCCUGGAGCUGGAAUUACAGAUGGUUGUGAGCUAGCUAUCUGAUGUAGGUCCUCUAGCCUGGGCUCCAACCGUUUACCUGGGACAGGCCCUCUGUGCAUAUUUCCAUCAGCUUUAUGGUGAAAACCAUUAGAUGCUCCAUAUCAACCGUCUGAGAGCUGUGACUUCUCAUGAAGCGCCCCUAAGGGAUGAAUGUUGGUUCUUGACUCUAUACGUCAUGCAGAAAGCAGAGACACAAACCAUUUAUAAGCAGCUGCAUAUUGUGUCUGUGGUAUUACAGGUUCACAGGGAAGGUGAUUAGGAGGAGAAUGGCUUAAAGGCUAUUUGGGAAAGCAGUGGUGGAAAAACAGGUUGAAAAACACUUAAGGUCCCGAGAGGCGAAGAGUAAUUACAUAAAUUACAAAAAUAUGGUUUUUGUUCUAUCCACACUUUUUAAUAGAAGACUUCCGUUUAACAGAAAUAUCAGGGAAAAUCAAAUGAAUCUUGAGACUCUGAAUUCAGAACAAGUCACAGAUGUUAAACACAGCAAGGGAGCCCCUUAAAUAGACUGCAUUUGGGGCACUUCAUCCAUCUGAUACUCUGUGGGGAUUUUUAAAUGAAGAUACAGAAAUUCCCCAAAUGGUUUUAUUCGUACUGGUAAUAUUCACUGAAUUUGAAUUGAUAUUAGACAUCUGUGAUCAAUUAGAUUUGGUCAUUGGCUAAUUACAUACAUUUAAAACAUAUCCAAGGCAAAGAUAUUAUAGUCGAGCAUAGUAAUUCAACUAAUAUUAUGAUUGAAAAUAUUCUAAUCUUUUAUCAGUGCAGGGUAGACACAUGAAGGAAUAUUAUUUUAUUUGCACAGUUUAUAAAGAGCUUUGAUAUAAAUUCCUUUUGAUGAUUUGUUCUUCUGAAGAGCCCUGCCGUGUGGAAAUUGUUUCCCUAUUUUCAUUUUAGGCAGAAGGAAGAUGAGGUUCAGCCCUUGACUGAUCCAUCCAAUAUGACUUUACCCCAGACUGGCCAGCCAGGUUCUAGCACCGUUUUCAUCGUCCCCUUCUCUGAAGAAGUAAGCCUAACUGUACUUUUUUUUU